CAAGUCGAGCGGCAGCGCGGGGCAACCUGGCGGCGAGCGGCGAACGGGUGAGUAAUGCAUCGGAACAUGUCCAUGUCGUGGGGGAUAGCCCGGCGAAAGCCGGAUUAAUACCGCAUGUGCCCUUCGGGGGAAAGCGGGGGACCGCAAGGCCUCGCGCGAUUGGGUUGGCCGAUGUCCGAUUAGCUAGUUGGUGGGGUAAAGGCCCACCAAGGCGAUGAUCGGUAGCUGGUCUGAGAGGAUGAUCAGCCACACUGGGACUGAGACACGGCCCAGACUCCUACGGGAGGCAGCAGUGGGGAAUUUUGGACAAUGGGGGAAACCCUGAUCCAGCCAUUCCGCGUGAGUGAAGAAGGCCUUCGGGUUGUAAAGCUCUUUUGUCCGGAACGAAACGGUGGACGUGAAUAUCGUCCGCUACUGACGGUACCGGAAGAAUAAGCACCGGCUAACUACGUGCCAGCAGCCGCGGUAAUACGUAGGGUGCGAGCGUUAAUCGGAAUUACUGGGCGUAAAGCGUGCGCAGGCGGUUUUGCAAGCCGGAUGUGAAAUCCCCGGGCUCAACCUGGGAAUGGCAUUCGGGACUGCAAGGCUGGAGUGCGGCAGAGGAGACUGGAAUUCCUGGUGUAGCAGUGAAAUGCGUAGAUAUCAGGAGGAAUACCGAUGGCGAAGGCAGGUCUCUGGGCUGACACUGACGCUCAUGCACGAAAGCGUGGGGAGCAAACAGGAUUAGAUACCCUGGUAGUCCACGCCCUAAACGAUGUCGACUGGUUGUUGGGGGUUUGACACUCUCAGUAACGAAGCUAACGCGUGAAGUCGACCGCCUGGGGAGUACGGCCGCAAGGUU
rnacentral:rRNA from 1 species